rnacentral:rRNA from 1 species
UACGGGGGGGGCAAGCGUUGUUCGGAAUUACUGGGCGUAAAGGGCUCGUAGGCGGCCAACUAAGUCGGAUGUGAAAUCCCCAGGCUUAACCUGGGAACUGCAUCCGAUACUGGAUGGCUUGAAUCCGGGAGAGGGAUGCAGAAUUCCAGGUGUAGCGGUGAAAUGCGUAGAUAUCUGGAGGAACACCGGUGGCGAAGGCGGCAUCCUGGACCGGUAUUGACGCUGAGGCGCGAAAGCCAGGGGAGCAAACGGG